GACAGUCUAAUGCCAGCUCCUGCAGAGGGGGUGGUGGCAGCAGCGUGAUUCUCCAGGCCGUGGCUGAUGAUGGCUGGCUUCUGAAGCAGCUAAGCAGGCAGCAGGAAUGCAGAGUCCCAUGAGCUCAGGGGCAAGUGACUUCACACAGGGAUCAAACAUUGUUUUUCAGAAAGCCGGACCACCAGAUGGAAAAUGCUGAGCACGGUCACAUAGACCUCAACAGGAUCUCACUCUAUCGAC
rnacentral:lncRNA from 1 species